UACGAAGGGGGCUAGCGUUGUUCGGAAUCACUGGGCGUAAAGGGCGCGUAGGCGGCUUUGUAAGUCAGACGUGAAAUCCCUCAGCUUAACUGGGGAACUGCGUCUGAUACUGGAUGGCUUGGAUUCGGGAGAGGGAUGCGGAAUUCCAGGUGUAGCGGUGAAAUGCGUAGAUAUCUGGAGGAACACCGGUGGCGAAGGCGGCAUCCUGGACCGAUAUUGACGCUGAGGAGCGAAAGCCAGGGGAGCAAACGGG
rnacentral:rRNA from 1 species